GAAGCGUUUAACUCUUAGCCAAUCAGAGAUCAGCUUGGAGGAAAAUAGGGAAGGAGAAGGAGGAGCAAGUGAAGAAGAAGGGGUGUGUGCAACACAUGGAGCAGUGACAGUCCCUGUGUGAAAAGUGUAACUCGGACUGUAAAACGUGGACGUUGAAGCCAGCACCGUCUGGAGUGACAGUCAGCUGUGAUCGCCAGCCACACGUUUCACAGAGGACUGGAAGGAAAGGAGGACGUCGCUGGAGCGCCGUUAUCUGGCAUCUGUUGCUUCUGCCUGUGAGGACAGACUCAGCCACUGGACCUGCUACAUCAUCUACCUGCUCCUGGACUCUUCUGACCUGCAUGCGUCCUGGUCGCUACAAUCCGGGUUCCCCCUUCUAUAAAUCAAAUUGGAUUCAACUACCACCUGUUUGACAGUCGGACCUUUCACCUCGGCUUGGACGGAGCUCGGAUGGGAGCACAUGCUACAAACAUUUGGGCGGAGACGGCUGUUUCUCAAUAUCACACUCAACUGCGUGAGGACCGUGACCGUCUGCAGAGCGGUGAGAGGGUUUCUUUUAUCUUCACAUGUUUUAUUCUUACACAAAAUGCUCACUUUUCAAUCCUGUGGCUUUCACUCUUACAACAGAGAGAUUUAAUUUAUCCAGAAAAUUCAAUCAAAUACAUGCAUUUUCAUCUCAAUUUAGUCUUCCCUCAACAUAGGUACAAGCCACCACCUGUAAUUUCACAUCAUAGACAUCAGUUGUUCUUGUCAAUAAAACUCACACUUCCCCAAAUCUAGGAGAACUGUUGUAAUACAAAUUUCACUUGGCUUUUCUAUGAUUCAAUGAAAAAAUGACAUAGUAGAAUAAGACAUAAAAACAUUCAAAUAGUUAUAGUAUAGUAAGAUAUGGAGACGUCAUAGUAUAGUAAGGCCUUAAAAGUGAAAAGAUGACAUUCUAUGGUAUUGCAAAAAAAUGUGAAAAAACAACAUAGUAUAGUGAGGAAUAAAAACAUCCAAAAAGGUCAUAGUAUAUUAAGGUAUAAAGACGUCAUAGUAAAGUAAGGCCAGAAAAGUCGUAAGAUGUGUGUGUGUGUGUGUGUGCGCGCGGUGCGGUCUGUCGGUCGGUCGCUGGCUGGCUGGCUGGCUGGCUGGCUGGCUGGCUGGCUGGCUGGCUGGCUCUGUUUUGUCUUCCGGAGCCUCAGGGAAAGGUUUACGUUGAUGGUAUGCUGACGUCAGAUAUUGGCCUCUGUGACCUCCGAUGUCCAUCAUUCCUCAGGUGAAAGCUUUUAUUGGUCACAAGCGGCUGAGCACCAGGAAAUGAGUCAACUUAAACCACACUGGUGUGUUUGGAUCUUUUAAACAGACAUGGGUCUUUACUUUGUUUUGAAUUCUUUCAUUGUGCUUUCUUCAUUGACUUUGCCUUUAUCAACUACAGGAAUAAAUGAAGCAACUGUCAUCUUAACUUUGAACUCUUUAUAUAACUUAAGUGAUUAGUUUUGGAAAUGUCUUGUAUUUGGACUAGAUGUGUAAUCAGUAGUGACCUUUCAGGACCCAGUGCUGUUUACCGGCUCCAUGAGGAACAACCUGGAUCCUUUCAACCAACACAUGGAUUAGGAACUGUAGAAUGCUCUGCACACACACACACACAACCCUAACCCUAGUAGGAGCUGCAUGUAGCAUUUGUCAUAAGUCAUAAUCAGGUGUAUUUGUACAUAUUGUCUGCGAAAUAUUGUGGUGUCCCCUGGGUGAAGGGCAUAUUUGGGCCUUUAUUGUGGGAAUGAGAACUUUGAUUGUGUUUGAAAUGCAAAAGUCACAGCGGCCAACAGAAUGAGAAAUGUAGCAAGUGAUGUGGUUGUCCUACAGUCUAGCUUUUGAAUUAGUCAUGAACAAGUCUUUACUCUGUCAAGAAGACAAUCAUGUGGUAUUUGGAUUGACUUUUUUUGUGUCGGGAUGGGGAAAGGCAAGGAGCGCCUUGUGACGGGUAGGUUAUGCACACAUGGCCAAAGGGGCUUUUCAUUGUGGUGGAUUGUGUGGAGUUGUGUUUUUAUCUGCAAAUGUGCUCGGCGGUUUACUUUGACUUUUGUGUUGGGAUGGGGAAAGGCAAGGGUAGGAUUGUUUUUUUUAAUCUGCAAAUGUGCUCGGCGGUGUAGAGGCUGUGUGUUUGUUAAGAGUGU